rnacentral:rRNA from 1 species
UGAGGAAUAUUGGUCAAUGGGCGAGAGCCUGAACCAGCCAAGUCGCGUGAAGGAAGACAGUCCUAAGGAUUGUAAACUUCUUUUAUACGGGAAUAACGGGCGAUACGAGUAUUGCAUUGAAUGUACCGUAGGAAUAAGCAUCGGCUAACUCCGUGCCAGCAGCCGCGGUAAUACGGAGGAUGCGAGCGUUAUCCGGAUUUAUUGGGUUUAAAGGGUGCGUAGGUUGUUCGGUAAGUCAGCGGUGAAACCUGAGCGCUCAACGUUCAGCCUGCCGUUGAAACUGCCGGGCUUGAGUUCAGUGGCGGCAGGCGGAAUUCGUGGUGUAGCGGUGAAAUGCAUAGAUAUCACGAGGAACUCCGAUGGCGAAGGCAGCUUGCCAUACUGCGACUGACACUGAAGCACGAAGGCGUGGGUAUCAAACAGG